CCCACGCGUGGACACGCUUGACAAAAAAAAACCACCCCCGAGUCAAUCGACCACGCCUCGCACCCCCAUCUGGAUCCGCCGCCUCCCCACCGCCGGCCCGCAUCGUCCGUCGCGCCCUCCUCCCCGUGUCUCCGAGUCCUCCGCGUGCAGCUUGCCGACGCCGAGGCCCAGGCCGCCGCGCUCCGGGAUCGCGCCGGCCGUCUCGAGCGCGUGCCGCCGACUGCGACGGGCUGCUCGGCACACUCCGCGCCGCCACGGCAACAGGUGGUAGGACGAGGAGAGGGUGGUGGAGACAGCGGAGGAGCUGGUAGGAGGAGGAGGAGAGGAAGGUGGAGGCGGCAGAGGAGCCAGUAGGAGUACGAGAGGGAGGUGGAGGCGGCGGAGGAGGGGACGGGGAUGACGGGGACAUAUCGGACUACACACCGGAGGACGAGGGCUUCACACCGCCUACCGAUUCCUUCUUCCUCGCAUCCUGGUUACAUGGUCGUUGCUGCAGUCGCCCAACAUCGACCACCUUGCCCCGAUUAGCUCUUGGAUACGCGGACGACCGGAUGUGCUCCAGCGCGGCCGCCUAUGGGCUUCUCCCACGAUGAAUCGACAACUAAGCUCGGGGACGUGAUAUGGUGCUCCGUGUAGGUGGCCAUGGUGGACCUGAAGCUGGCUUAGAUAAGCGAUGGGAUCGAGCGGCGGCGCUCCCGAUCUGAUCGGGAGCAGGACGACGGCGGCGAGCACAUGGCCGACGAGAGGAGCAGGAGGGGAGGCGCGGAGGCGGGGCCAUAUGCGUCGGACGCGCGCGUUCGUCCGCAGUCAACGCGGACACAGCGGCCGUCCAUGGCGGCUCGGGUCGAUGUAGGAGGACGAGGGGAGGAGCUCGCAAGGCCCGGCACCGGUAAUGGAGCGGAGGCGGCUGGAUCUGGCGAUUCUGGAGGGGCUGGCGACGAGCGGCUCCAUGGGCGGCGACCUGCGGGGUUCAAGCGGCGGCUGAAGGUUUGUCAGAUAUACUUCCAUUUUAUGCAUGGGUUGAUCCCUCCCCUGGAUACUGUCAAGGUUUGCAUUUCAAUGGAGCAUUGCAUCAUUUUGCUUUAAUUAUUUAAACUGCCUAAAUGGUACAAGUUGAGUGUAGGUAUGAGCGAUCUGGUUUCCCCUUUUGUUGUUCUAUACGAGGAUGAUCCAGAUGCCUUUUGGUGUUUUGAGAUGCUACUGAGAAGGAUGGUAAUUUGUAUCUAUGUCAAACCAUACUGGCAUAUGUUAGGUUGGUAUUUUUGCAUGACUUAAUGCAUGAUAUAAAUUCUGUUGCAUCUCAGCGUGAAAAUUUCCAUCUCGAGGGACCGACAGGAGUUAUGAAGCGGUUGGAAGCAUUGUGGAAGAUCAUGAAAUUGACAGAUACGGAACUAAUAAACUGUUAAGGAUCAAACAGGCAAAUGGAGUCCUAAUUUUCUAUUGGAAGUUCACAUGACAUGGUUCUAUGUUUGAGGCUUCAACAGACUGCGUAUGCCUCAAGAUUUGAGGUGUGAGUGUGCGACUUGAUUUUCUGUGUUGUUACAGUUAAUCGGUAAUGGAUAAAUCAAAUUUUGUUAUGUAGAUUGGUAAAACUAAUUAAGUUAAUUUUUUCUUAUUUAUGGGUUAUAAUUUAUUACUCCAAAAGCAGAUUUGUGUAUGUUAAAUAGAUUUUCAUAGGGAUAUAAGACUAGAAGUGUGGAUGUUUGUCAAUUUUCAGAGGGAAAUAAGCAACAGAAUAGACAUAAAAACAUGGCUGCUUUGGGAAAUUUUGGAUGUUACCCAUGCUCAUGCAUGAUGGUAGUUGUUGCGAAGAUCAUCUUAUCUAUCCAUCAUGAAUCAUCCCAGCACAACAAAUUGUCUAUUUAGUUCAUCACAAACACCAGUAUCACGGGGAUAAUGGAGGUAAAUCAAAGCUCAAUGCUGAACCCUUGGUACAUCCUCCAUGUUAUGUUAGGACAAGAAAACAACCCAAGGGGCACCAAACCAUUUCUGCUCCGCUAGCUUCAGAUUUUUUGUUUUUGCAUAAUUAAGAUGACAAGUUUGCAGACAUACGAUACUAGCUAGCUAAUUUUAAUCCCAUUACAAUGUUAUAGAUAGCUUCAUUACAAAAUAUAUGGUCUGAUUUUAUAUUAUAGAGUGUGUGUAUGAGAACUGAUUUAGAGUAUGUUGGUCAUUUGCGUUCUCAAGCUUUUUGUUGUAUGAUUUCUAUGGGAGAGAAUGAUACACGAGCCAGUAAUAAUAAUAAUACAACUAAAGUUUGUGAACAUAUCAUUACAAAAUGGUUGGCUAGAUAAUGUACACAUUCUACUAUAUAUGAUCAUUUUCUUUGUAGCUAUACACUUAUUUAGAAUACUGUACAAUUUUAUCUAUAGAUCAUUUUGUUAGGAAUGAUAGUAAAACAAGGAAUGUUUUUCUACUUGUUGAUCUUAUAUCCCCUAUCCACCCCGUUUCACUCAUGUUCCCACUUUCAAAGAACGGACGUGGAGCUGUGGGGUCUUGAACAUGUUUUGAUGUUUAUUGGAGGCAUUUGGAUUUUUUUUCUCCCGUUGCAACGCACGGACAAUGUGUGCUAGUAUAUAUAUAGAGAGAGUAGCACUAUUCUGAUCCUGGGAUCAGAAUAACUAUUUGGAUCACAAUCGACUCUAUAUAGGGCGCGUUGGAGACGUUCCCGAACUCCCGAACCCGCCGAGAAGGAAAAAGAAAAAAGGCCGAUCCCCACUCGUUCUUCAUCUCCGCCGAUCCCCAACCUCCUCCCGAUCCCCCCCGCAGUCACCGACGGGGCGCCGGCCCGGCUUCGGGCCACCUGCGCCGCACCAUCCCACCACCUCCACCAGCGUGCCGCCGUCCCGACUCCCAACCACCUCUACCCCGACUCCAGUACCACCCCGCUGCCGACCCCGAUUCCUCCCGGCGCCGCCGCCCACUUCUCCUUCCGGUGAGCCGCCACCUGCUCUCCUCCUUCCGGCGAGCCGUUGCCCCCGCCUCCACCCGGCGCGAGGCCGCCCCGCCUCCUUCCGGCACCACCGUUCUACCUUCUACGGCCGUCGUGCCUCCCUAGGACCUCCACCUACCACCACCGCAAGUCCCCAUCGCCUCCGCCCGGCGCCGCCGCCACUGAUCCCGGUCACCUCCGUUCGUCGUCACCACGUCUCCCCAACACCACCACCCGAGCAACCGCUGCGGUCCUGGAUCCUGUGUGUCGUCGCGAGCCGUGGAUCCCGUGCGCCGCCUCCGAGCCGUGGAUCCCGCUCAGUUCAACUUCACCGAAGCCACAAGUCCGAUUGGUAGUGCGUGGGAGGUGGUGCUGCUCCGGCUAGGUACUCCGUCCACGAGCAUGGCGCGUCGAUGGCUGCCUCCUCCUGUUCCCUCCAACCCCGAGCGCGGCGUAUCCACGCUCCACUCGCCGGCGACCACCAGCCCAUGUGCAGAUUGGGCACUACCUGCAGGUGGAGGAGAUGUCGACCUGCAGCAACAAGGGAUCUCGACCUGCAGCUAGCCAAGCGCCGCCACAACAAUCCACACAACCUACAGUCGGCACUGCACACCUGGGCCGUUCAACUUGGCCAUAUAUCAGGUCGUUCAACUCCACCCCUGCUCCUCAUGGAUGACCUUCAGUCAACGGUGGCUUCUCCUCGGUCCAUGAACGAGGUUGCUCAGUGGCACGCACGAGCCGGGGAGGCUGCAGUUCGGCGGCGUGUACCCAUAGUUCGUCUUUGUCCCGUGGCAUCAUCCUGCUGGUUGGUGACCAACGGAGCUGGCCUGAGGCAUGGUCUUGCUCGCUGACACUGGGCACGACUCGGUUGGAAGGAAGAAGGAGCUCCAUCCAUCCUAUGAAGUUCGCCCGGUGAGCCUGUGCAGUCCAACGGCGCAUGUGUGCUUGUGUCCGGUUCACAGCCGUAGCAUGUGUGGUGCUCGCGUGCACACGACAGCCACAUGAUGAGUUAACAGAAGCCAAGCUAGAAGCAGAAUGCAAUACCUUCAUACGAGUGUGCACGCAAGACAGACAUAGAGAAGUUCAGGCAAUGCAAUGGUGCAGCCACGGCAGCAUCGAUGACAAUGGUGUGGCGUUCCUGGUGCUCUCUCCCUCUACUGACUUGCUUGUUAUGAUGCCACCGCUUCUGCAUGCUUGUACUAAGACGACUACCCAUCUGUCUUCACAAGUGAUUCUUGUUUGUCAAUUUGGAGGAACGUGCAACUUUGAAAAUCUAA